rnacentral:rRNA from 1 species
ACUAGUGAUUUCCGUAGGUGAACCUGCGGAAGGAUCAUUAUGAUAAUUGAUUUAACUCAACAAAGCCUUUAGUUGUGGUAGUAGUUCGCUGCUACUUCAACAACAUACAAAACUAAUAAGCAAAAGAAACUUAAUCUAGAACCAAACACACAAACCAAAUUCUCACCGGUGGAUGUCUUGGUUCCCACAACGAUGAAGAACGCAGCGAAGUGCGAUAAGCAGUGCGAAUUGCAGAACCGUGAGUCAUCAGAUUUUUGAACGCAACUGGCGCCGUACGGGGCAACCCGUCGGCACGCCUGGUCCAGUGUCUUGUUCUCUCAUCACCAAAAUCCUAAUGCAAGAGAUACCCUUCUCUUGUUAAGCAUGAAAGCACUCUGCGACUGCGAGCAGCCUUCGGGUUGCACUCAAUGCAGCAGUCACAUUUUCAAAUGUGAACUCAUUGAGAGUGGAAGCAGUGCAGCGUAAGCUGCCAGUGUUUAGGCAAUCCAACUUGGAUACGGUAUCUGGGCUCAGGUGGGACCACCCGCUGAACUUAAGCAUAUCAAUAAGCGGAGGAAAU